ACGCUCACGAUGCGGAAUGGGUUCUCCAGCCGGGCACCUCUCCGGAUACGCUGACGGCGUGCAUCCCCAUACACCGGAGGGGACGCAUAGCCGACAGCCGUCGCACCCAGGGAGCAGCCCCAUG
rnacentral:sRNA from 1 species